AACGAACGCUGGCGGCAUGCCUAACACAUGCAAGUCGAACGAGACCUUCGGGUCUAGUGGCGCACGGGUGCGUAACGCGUGGGAACCUGCCCUUAGGUUCGGAAUAACUCCCCGAAAGGGGUGCUAAUACCGGAUAAUGUCUUCGGACCAAAGAUUUAUCGCCUUUGGAUGGGCCCGCGUUGGAUUAGCUAGUUGGUAGGGUAAAAGCCUACCAAGGCGACGAUCCAUAGCUGGUCUGAGAGGAUGAUCAGCCACACUGGGACUGAGACACGGCCCAGACUCCUACGGGAGGUAGCAGUGGGGAAUAUUGGACAAUGGGCGAAAGCCUGAUCUAGCAAUGCCGCGUGAGUGAUGAAGGCCUUAGGGUUGUAAAGCUCUUUUACCCGGGAUGAUAAUGACAGUACCGGGAGAAUAAGCUCCGGCUAACUCCGUG
rnacentral:rRNA from 1 species